rnacentral:rRNA from 1 species
GACGAACGCUGGCGGCGUGCUUAACACAUGCAAGUCGAACGGGAUCCGGGCUUUCGGGUUUGGUGAGAGUGGCGAACGGGUGAGUAACACGUGAGUAACCUGCCCCCUUCUUUGGGAUAACGUCGGGAAAUCGGCGCUAAUACUGGAUAUUCUUGCUGCAUCGCAUGGUGUGGUUUGGAAAGGGUUUCUGGUGGGGGAUGGGCUCGCGGCCUAUCAGCUUGUUGGUGGGGUGAUGGCCUACCAAGGCUUUGACGGGUAGCCGGCCUGAGAGGGUGUCCGGCGACACUGGGACUGAGACACGGCCCAGACGCGUACGGGAGGUAGCAGUGGGGAAGAUUGCAGAAUGGGCGUAAGCCUGAUGCAGCGACGCCGCGAGAGGGAUGACGGCCUUCGGGUUGUAAACCCCUUUCAGUAUGGAACAAGGAUCCUUCGUUUGGGGGGUUUGAGGGUACGUGCAGAAGAAGCGCCGGCUAACUACGUG